AUACGGAGGGGGCUAGCGUUGUUCGGAUUUACUGGGCGUAAAGCGCGCGUAGGCGGUAUAUCAAGUUAGGCGUGAAAGCCCUGGGCUCAACCCAGGAAUUGCGUUUAAUACUGGUAAGCUAGAGACCGAGAGAGGGUGGCGGAAUUCCCAGUGUAGAGGUGAAAUUCGUAGAUAUUGGGAAGAACACCAGUUGCGAAGGCGGCCACCUGGAUCGGAACUGACGCUGAGGUGCGAAAGCGUGGGGAGCAAACAGGAUUAGAAACCCCAGUAGUCC
rnacentral:rRNA from 1 species